rnacentral:rRNA from 1 species
GGUGAACGCUGGCGGCGUGCUUAAGACAUGCAAGUCGAACGGCAGUCUUCGGACUGUAGUGGCGCACGGGUGAGUAACGCGUAACUGACCUACCCCAAAGUCGCGGAUAACGAUUCGAAAGAAUCGCUAAUACGUGAUGUGCUGUCAGAUUGUGUUCUGCCAGUAAAGAUUGAUUGCUUUGGGAUGGGGUUGCGUUCCAUCAGCUAGUUGGUGGGGUAAAGGCCCACCAAGGCGACGACGGAUAGCCGGCCUGAGAGGGUGGCCGGCCACAGGGGCACUGAGACACGGGUCCCACUCCUACGGGAGGCAGCAGUUAGGAAUCUGCCACAAUGGGCGAAAGCCUGAUGGAGCGACGCCGCGUGAGGGAUGAAGGUCUUCGGAUCGUAAACCUCUGAAUCAGGGACGAAAGACACUUCGGUGGGAUGACGGUACCUGAGCAAUAGCACCGGCUAACUCCGUGCCAGCCGCCGCGGUAAAAC